ensembl:lincRNA
GCUUUUUCAAUAAGAACAAAAUUUUGACUAUAGUCAGAAUACAAAAUUGUAUCCUUUAUUUUUUGAGUUGAGAGGAGAAAUUGGUGAGAAAACCUGUCAAGUUGUGUUUGCAUAUUUUGACUGUUUCCUGCAGGGGAACACCAGCCAUGAGUGACAAAUCUUGGUACAGUGUUCAAGUUAAAGAUUCAUUACUUCAACCUCCUUCAGAUGAUGGAGGAAAUGCAACGAUGUGCAAAUCUCCCUUUCUGAAUUCAUGCCUCUGCGGACAACAUGAGAUUCAGAAACCGGGGAAAUCACGGUUUCAGAUUCCAUCUUGUGUCCAAUGUUUGCCACAAGUGCUCUUGCUGCGAAUGGGAUGAGAAUGGAUUUGGUUGUAUGUGUGGUUGCAGACAAUCUUCAGGCUGUGAACAAAGUGGUAUCUCUAGCUCUUCAGGACCUUCUCUGAGACCAAUUUCUUGUACCCUACAUGCUUCUGCAACAACAUAGAGAAUCAGUUAUUUCUAUGAGCAGUUCUCCACGUUCCAGGAGGGCUCUUUUUUCCGGCUAACGAAGUCUGCAUGUCAGUGGAGUCUUCAGAAUUGACUGGAUUGUCACUUCAACUGUGAAAGCCAUGCCGCCUUUCCUACAUUAGAGAAGGGUAAACUGAAAGCAUGAGCAGUAUGUGGCACUCCUCCAUGAUCUCAGUGGCAUUUUGUAACAAGUAUAUGUCUUGACAUGAAAUAA